GUGAGGUAACGGCUCACCAAGGCCACGAUGCGUAGCCGACCUGAGAGGGUGAUCGGCCACAUUGGAACUGAGACACGGUCCAGACUCCUACGGGAGGCAGCAGUGGGGAAUAUUGCACAAUGGGCGAAAGCCUGAUGCAGCAACGCCGCGUGAGUGAUGAAGGCUUUCGAGUCGUAAAGCUCUUUGAUCAGGGAUGAUAAUGACAGUACCUGAAAAACAAGCCACGGCUAACUACGUGCCAGCAGCCGCGGUAAUACGUAGGUGGCGAGCGUUGUCCGGAAUUACUGGGCGUAAAGGAUGCGUAGGUGGAUAUUUAAGUGGGAUGUGAAAUCCCCGGGCUCAACCCGGGAACUGCAUUCCAAACUGGAUAUCUAGAGUGCAGGAGAGGAAAGCGGAAUUCCUAGUGUAGCGGUGAAAUGCGUAGAUAUUAGGAGGAACACCAGUGGCGAAGGCGGCUUUCUGGACUGUAACUGACACUGAGGCAUGAAAGCGUGGGUAGCAAACAGGAUUAGAUACCCUGGUAGUCCACGCCGUAAACGAUGGGUACUAGGUGUAGGAGGUAUCGACCCCUUCUGUGCCGUCGUUAACACAAUAAGUACCCCGCCUGGGGAGUACGGUCGCAAGACUAAAACUCAAAGGAAUUGACGGGGGCCCGCACAAGCAGCGGAGCAUGUGGUUUAAUUCGAAGCAACGCGAAGAACCUUACCUAGACUUGACAUCUCCUGAAUUACUCUUAUCGAGGAAGCCCUUCGGGGCAGAGACAGGUGGUGCAUGGUUGUCGUCAGCUCGUGUCGUGAGAUGUUG
rnacentral:rRNA from 1 species